rnacentral:sRNA from 12 species
GGAGCCCUGCGGUGGCCGAAGCCUUUAGUUCCACUAAAGGUCCGUAUGUAGGCCACUGCGGGGCUUA